ACCUGUCUUCACGGGAGGGGAUAAUUGAGCAGGACCAAACGUGAGCAUCUUUUGGUAAACGUGAUACGUUUUUUAAAAUGUAUUUGAUCUCCCAGGCUGUUUGAUCCGAGUGAAAUGAACUGUGACUGUCGGACUAUGACUACCACGUAUAAGCAGCCGAAGAAACAAGAAUAUUAUCCGGAAUAAGAAAAGUUGGAACACUCUCAUAUUCAACCCACACGACCACAACUGAAAGGGGGAAAAGGGACCGAAAUGAUAGCGUUGCAAGUUUGACUGACUCUCACACAUACCAGGGAUGAAAGUAUAAGGGUUGCAGAGUGUUAAGGAAGUGAGCAUCAGCGGUUUGGGUUGUUAAUGUUUUAUAUUUGUAAACGUUUAUUUAUUUGCCUCUAUGGACGUCCGUUUAUGUUGUACUAUCGUAAUAACCACUAUGAGUGGAGCAUGUAUAACGGCGCAUGCCCCAUGCACCUACAAGAGCGAAAGAGAUGUGUAUAUUGAGGUGCUUCUCGCAAGUGCCAGGUGCAGUCAGUUAUCAACUGUAUGGAUAAUUAAAUCAUCAAUCAAGAGGCUCGACUGUUUGAUGCCUUUGUCCAAAGCCAAUCAGAUUCCAGAGAACUCGGAAGCACAGCUCGAGAGGAAAAGUCAGGUGAUAGUGCGUUACAGACUUGAAGAAGGGGAUCCCGCUUUACUGCAGCUGGCCGGUGGUGGCUUGUCCGCUCUAGGAGUCUGAGGUGCGGGACGUUCCUGCGCCCCCUUUGGACAUCGAGGGGGUCCCGGCGUAUGCCGUUCACUCCAUACUGGAUUCAAGGCUUCGGGCGAGGGGCCUGGGUUCCAGUGGAGAUGCUGGGUUCCGGUGGAGGACGCCCUUGUUCCGGCGACAUUCUGCGGUCGACGUCACCGGUCUUCUAGCCUUCGCCGAUCCACCAUUCAUUUUCCAUUUGUUAUGUCUUGUUUUCCCACACACAUUCCCUCAUUACGUGACGUGUAUAAAACCCUCUGUUCCCCCCAUGUCUGUGUGUGGAAUUGUUUGUUGUAAAGUGUAUGUGCAUUAUAGACUUGUUUGCGCCGGGUUAUAUCAACCCAUAUUCUGUUGUUCUGGGUGCCGUCGGUUUUGCCUCAUUAAACUGCUCCGGUUAUUACCCA